UCCAGAGGUCCCAAGCGUUGUUCGGAUUCAUUGGGCGUAAAGGGUGCGUAGGUGGCAUGGUAAGUCGGGUGUGAAAUCCCGGGGCUCAACCCCGGAACUGCACUCGAUACUGCCGUGCUCGAGUACUGGAGAGGAGACUGGAAUUUACGGUGUAGCGGUGAAAUGCGUAGAUAUCGUAAGGAAGACCAGGGGCGAAGGCGGGUCUCUGGACGAUUCCGGACGCUGAGGCACGAAAGCCAGGGGAGCAAACGGG
rnacentral:rRNA from 1 species